rnacentral:rRNA from 1 species
UGCGUAGGCGGACUAAUAAGUCAGUGGUGAAAUCUCUCGGCUCAACCGGGAAACUGCCAUUGAUACUGUUAGUCUUGAGUUCAGUUGAGGUAGGCGGAAUGUGUAAUGUAGCGGUGAAAUGCUUAGAUAUUACACAGAACACCAAUUGCGUAGGCAGCUUACUAGACCGACACUGACGCUGAGGCACGAAAGCGUGGGUAGCGAACAGGAUUAGAUACCCUGGUAGUCC